GACAGCGGAGGGAUCAUUACCGAGUUUACAACUCCCAAACCCCUGUGAACAUACCAAUUGUUGCCUCGGCGGAUCAGCCCGCUCCCGGUAAAACGGAACGGCCCGCCAGAGGACCCCUAAACUCUGUUUCUAUAUGUAACUUCUGAGUAAAACCAUAAAUAAAUCAAAACUUUCAACAACGGAUCUCUUGGUUCUGGCAUCGAUGAAGAACGCAGCAAAAUGCGAUAAGUAAUGUGAAUUGCAGAAUUCAGUGAAUCAUCGAAUCUUUGAACGCACAUUGCGCCCGCCAGUAUUCUGGCGGGCAUGCCUGUUCGAGCGUCAUUUCAACCCUCAAGCCCCCGGGUUUGGUGUUGGGGAUCGGCGAGCCUCACGGCAAGCCGGCCCCGAAAUACAGUGGCGGUCUCGCUGCAGCUUCCAUUGCGUAGUAGUAAAACCCUCGCAACUGGUACGCGGCGCGGCCAAGCCGUUAAACCCCCAACUUCUGAAUGUUGACCUCGGAUCAGGUAGGAAUACCCGCUGAACUUAAGCAUAUCAAUAAGCGGAGGA
rnacentral:rRNA from 1 species